UACAGAGGUGGCGAGCGUUAUUCGGAAUUAUUGGGCGUAAAGGGCGCGUAGGCAGCCACGCAAGUCUUGGGUGAAAUCCCUCGGCUCAACCGAGGAACUGCCUUGGAAACUGCAUGGCUCGAGGCCGGGAGAGGGUAGCGGAAUUCCCAGUGUAGCGGUGAAAUGCGUAGAUAUUGGGAGGAACACCGGUGGCGAAGGCGGCUACCUGGACCGGUUCUGACGCUGAGACGCGAAAGCGUGGGGAGCGAACAGG
rnacentral:rRNA from 1 species